UACGUAGGGGGCUAGCGUUGUCCGGAUUUAUUGGGCGUAAAGAGCGUGUAGGCGGCCAGGUAGGUCCGGUGUGAAAACUCGAGGCUUAACCUCGAGAUGUCAUCGGAAACCAUCUGGCUAGAGUCCGGAAGAGGAGAGUGGAAUUCCUGGUGUAGCGGUGAAAUGCGCAGAUAUCAGGAAGAACACCAAUGGCGAAGGCGGCAUCCUGGACCGAUAUUGACGCUGAUGCGCGAAAGCCAGGGGAGCAAACGGG
rnacentral:rRNA from 1 species